GUCCUUUUGAUUAUAAUUUAAGGUCUAGCCUGCCCACUGAUUUAUUAAAUGGCCGCGGUAUUUUGACCGUGCAAAGGUAGCAUAAUCAUUAGUUUUUUAAUUGAAAGCUAGAAUGAAUGGUUGAAUAAGAAAAAUUCUGUCUCAGUUUAGAUUUAUUAGAAUUUUAUUUUUAAGUGAAAAAGCUUAAAUGUAAUUUAAAGACGAGAAGACCCUAUAGAGUUUUAUAAAAGAUUUUUAUAAAAAUUUAAGUUUAAAUUUUUUUUGUAUUUAUUUUUUAUUUGAUUGGGGUGAUUUAAAAAUUAAAUAAACUUUUUUAUUUUUUUACAUUAAUAUAUGAUUAGUUGAUCCAUUUUUAUGAUUAAAAGAUAAAAUUACCUUAGGGAUAACAGCGUAAUUUUUUUUGAGAGUUCUUAUCGAAAAAAGAGAUUGCGACCUCGAUGUUGGAUUAAAAUAAAUAUUUGGUGUAGAAGCUAAAUUAUUAAGUCUGUUCGACUUUUAAAAUUUUACA
rnacentral:rRNA from 1 species